UACGGAGGGGGCUAGCGUUGUUCGGAAUUACUGGGCGUAAAGCGCACGUAGGCGGCUUUGUAAGUUAGAGGUGAAAGCCCGGGGCUCAACUCCGGAAUUGCCUUUAAGACUGCAUCGCUAGAAUUGUGGAGAGGUAAGUGGAAUUCCGAGUGUAGAGGUGAAAUUCGUAGAUAUUCGGAAGAACACCAGUGGCGAAGGCGACUUACUGGACAGUAACUGACGCUGAGGAGCGAAAGCGUGGGGAGCGAACAGG
rnacentral:rRNA from 1 species